GUUUACCAAACACAUGUCUUUUUGAGUUAUAUUAAAAGUCUAACCUGCCCACUGAAUUUUAAAUGGCCGCAGUAUUUUAACUGUGCAAAGGUAGCAUAAUCAUUAGUCUUUUAAUUGAAGGCUGGAAUGAAUGGUUGAAUGAAAUAUUAACUGUUUCAUAUAAAUUUAUAAUAGAAUUUUAUUUUUUAGUUAAAAAGCUAAAAUUUAAUUAAAAGACGAGAAGACCCUAUAAAUCUUUAUAUUUUAUUGGGGUGAUAUUAGAAUUUAAAAAACUUUUAAUUUAUAUUAUACAUUAAUUAAUGAUUUAUUGAUCCAUAAAUUAUGAUUAAAAAUUUAAGUUACUUUAGGGAUAACAGCGUAAUUUUUUUUGAGAGUUCAUAUUGAUAAAAAAGAUUGCGACCUCGAUGU
rnacentral:rRNA from 1 species